rnacentral:lncRNA from 1 species
CUCGCUUUUUUGUAAUUUCGAUAAUGCAAAUGUUGAAAUAAAAAAUAGCAACACUUUAACAUGCAAGUUUAUCAAAUAUUCAAAGUCAUGGAACCAUGACUGAAGGUACAUGGCUAAACAAUCUCCAUGGAAAUGAGAUGUGCCAAUGCUAAUACAACUGCAUACCAAAUACCAUUGACUAAUCAUAAGUAGUUCUCUUUAAACAAACCUAAACACAAACUUAUAAAUGUAAACCAAGCAAAAUAUCAAAGUCAAUGAACCAUAACUGAGGGAAAGGUAAAAACAAUCUCCAUGGUAAUGAGAUGUGCCAGCGUUAAUACAACUGCAUACCAAGUAUCAUUGACCUACCACUACUGGUUCCCCAUAAACUGACCUAAUCACAAACUAAUACAUGAAAACUAAGCAAAAGUUUCAAAGUCAAUAGACCAUGACUGAAGGGGAGGGGCCAAAUAAUCUCCAUGGAAAUGAG